AAAAAAAAAAAAAAAAAAAAAAAAAAAAAAAACUCAGCACCAAUCUCAACCAAUGCAAAGCUUACACAAACCAUUGGACCAAAUUUAGGAGUGCAGAAACUAAAAGGAAGAAAGAAUGCAAAUUUGAAGGCUGGCAAAAGGAGACCUCAAACACAAUAAGAUCUUUUUAAAAAGGAAGAAAUGACAAAGAAAUGCUGCACAAAUAAAGGAACAAACUAGACACACAGAAAUUUAAACAAAUGAAGAGGAAAUAGGCAAGCUGCCUGAAAAACUAUUCAGAAUAAUGAUAGUAAAGAUGAUCAAA
rnacentral:sRNA from 1 species